CUUUUUAACUUUCCUUGAUGUUUUUCUCUGUUCUUUAAACUUUUCUCUGCCUAUUCAGAUUUCUGCUCAUUCCCUUCUUUCUUUGUGGCCCACUGGUGUUUAUCUUCUUUCCUGAACUCAUAAUUAUCCUAAGGCUUCCAGGGCAGUACGUCAUGAGACUCCUGCCCCCAGCCAAACGCGUCCACUUCCCCUGGAGGGUGACAGCUCUAGAUGGACUGUUCUCGGUUUUCCUACCCCCCCCCCCCCCACUCCUGGUGUUUACUGAGCAAGCUUAGCUUUUGCUUUGCGAUUGAUUUUUCAUUCACCAUUUCUGAAAAAUCAUUUCCACAUAGCAUUCCCGGGACAGAUCCCUAGUUCACCUUUGGCCAGUCUUCUGCAAUCCUAUCUCUUCAUCCAACAUUACCGAAGGGCUUUUUUAUUUUGAGUCAGAAUCUUUUGAAUAUAGCCCGAGCUGGCCUCAGGAUCCCUCUGGCUAAGCCUCCUGAAUGCUGAGGACUUUUGAAGUCUCUUUGUCACUGUAUGGAGGACUCUGUUGAGGACACCCUGGGGUAAGGAUUCCGGGGUGAGACUGACGAGGAGAGCCCUGCAAGAGAAAGGCCUGAAGGCGGAGCCCCUCAGGAGGCUUCUUCCCAGGAGAGGCCUCCGGACGAACGCCCGGCCUGCUUCCACGGUGCCGGACACCAGAGCUCCGGGAGCUGGGGGCAAGGCCCAGAGGGCACCCAGGACGAUACCGCAAGGGAAGGGGAGGUGAGCGGGCCCCACAAUCCAGUCGCCUACCCUCACCACGUAAGGGCGGAGAGAGCAUUGAAGCUGGACGCCUGCUCUGCAUACUAUGAGGUAGGCAGCCAGCCCUCCACUUGACCCUGACCCUAAAUUAUGGCUCCACCUUGCUUGCCCUGGGUCCAAAACUGUGGGUCAGGUCACAGACAAGGAGUGUCUGAGGACGCCUCCCGGUGACGCCUAGAAGCAGCUUGAAUAUGUAGAAGGGUAGCUGUCGUUCCGGCUCGACCACCUCCUCACGCAGCAGGCCAGACAUUCUGCCAAAGGGCCGGGCUUGGCCCCCGACGGUGGCACCUUUGGAACUACAGCAUCUACACAGACAUGGGCAGUGCCUGAAACACUGGGCAAACGGCGCUGGGUGAUGCCACGGCUGGACUCGGUGAAUGGUGUCAAAAUCUACGCUUGUGUGGGAGCAGGCCCACGGGUGGAGAGAGACGCGCCACUCCAGCAAGUACCUGGCGGCCUCCUCCCCUCCCCUCCCCUCCCCUCCCCAGGCCUAUGGGCUCUAGGUCUGCUAAUUAACCUUCGGCUCGAGAAGACAUGUGCCUAACCAGGGGACCAGCCCUGCCUCAGGUCAACCGAGGGGCACACAUGGCCUAGCGACCUUUCGGACCAGCGUCCUGCUGUAGGAACCCAAGUCUAGGAACAGAUGGAGAGCGCGGUCCAGCGCUGAGCCCGCCACGCCUACCUGGAAACUAACUACCCACUCUGAGCAUCUCAUGGCAGAUGAGCCAUUUGAGUGGUUCCAAAGGCCUUCAUCAACCUCUUGCCUCCUGACUUACCAACUUAACGGGCCUGUCAUGCCAGGAAAUAAUGUGUCCCGUUGAUUGAGACCUUAUUCUGCCACAUAUUGCAAUUUGUGGGAAUUAUGUAAUACAACAUUCCUGUGUCAUAGAUCCUGUUACUUCUACAUUUUAUAGGUAACAGCCAAGAGGUUAAGAGCUUGCCCUAAGUCACACAGCCUGUCUGUGGCAGAACCAGCAUUCGGACCCAGUCUACCUGCCUGACUCCACAGUCCCUGCUAGUAUACCACUUCCUGUGCUGGGCAUCAGGUGGGACAGAAGCUGUGAGCUGGUUAAGGCAGUCAUUCGAGGAGCACUGUUUUUCUCAGUGGCAAAUUACAUAGGACUUAAUUUUCUUUCUUUCUUUCUUUCUUCUUUCUUUCUUUCUUUUUCUUUUUUCUUUUUCUUUCUCUCCUUUUCUUUCUUUUUUUCCUUUCCUUUCUCUCUCUCUCUUUCUUCCUUUCUUUUUUCUUUCUCUCUUUUUCUUCCUUUCCUUUCUUCUUCUUUCUUUCUUUCUUUCUUUCUUUCUUUCUUUCUUUCUCAUUCUUGUUGUUCCUCUACCUCCUCCUCCUUUUCCUCUUCUUCUUCUUCAGCUAUACAUCCUUUGCUGCUUUGGAACUCGCUAGACCAGGCUAGCCUUGAACUCACAGAGCUCUGCCUGCCUCUGCCUCUUGAGUGCUGGGAUUAAAGGUGAAUGAUACCACGCCCACAUCACGACAUUUUUUUUUUUAAAUGAGCAGAUGUUCUGUGGGAGCAAAGUGAACUUUGUGUCUCCAGCUGAGCUGACAGAGAUGUUGGGUGUUGAGACCAGUGAUUCCAGCUCAGCCCUUGAGUCCCUGGGUCUCUGUGCCACCUCUCUGGAGUGCCAUUGAUGCGGAGAGCACUGUUUAGGCCCAGCUCCUAUGUGGAGGGCUCCCUGGAAGCCAUGUGCUGUCAUACCAAGUGGCUGGGGAACUUCAAGUAACAAAGGAUUAUUAAGAUUUCUCAAUUACCAGUGGGGCAGAAGUUUUUAAAUUUCCAGCAGAUAAUAAUUUUCAAGAUUUAGAAAUGAAAAAAAAAAAAAAGGAAUUCUGGGAAGAUCCAGAAAAUCAUACUCUGUAUUUUUCAUAACCCUCUGUACCUUAAAAACUAAGAAGGUCACAAUUAGUUGUAGUUUGAAAGAGCUGUAAGCCUUAAAUAUUUAAAAGGCAGAAACUGCCAGUGUGUGUCGCUGGGUAGUAUUUGUAUAACAGAAUGUUCAUGGAUCCAGUUAGAUUCAUAGUACUUGAGAAUCAUGAUUUGAACUUGCUGCUAUAAAGACUUAUUUCCAGAUGCAUCUCAGAGCAUCCUAGGAUGCUACGCAUUCAUGUUUAUUGCAUUUGUGAGGAUUACUCUACAGGCAGAGGGGCGCAGGUACAUUUUUAAUACCAGAGGCUACAGAAGAGUGGUCCGGACUGUGACAGUUCCCCUCCAGUUUCUUGGGUCCCAAAUUCCGAGGAUGUCUACCUUAACGGGAUACGUCAGCAUGUCCCAAGCCUGCCCUUUGACCUGCUACAGUGGUUCCUGACAGCCAGGACCCCUAUGCCCUUUGAGCACUGGCUGUUAGAGGACAGCUAGUUAGUUCCCUGUUUCCCCAGUGUAUUUGCUGAUUGGUGUUGAUAUUCAAAACAAAACAAAACAAAACAAAACAAAACAAACACCCAGGUUUCCCUAUAUACCCCAGCAAGGACUUCUGAAUGGGUACACCUCCAUGGGCUGAGCAGGAAUGGUGAGCUAGUGUGCUAGUGUUUACGAAGCCCAGUGGUCUAGGCUUCAUGGAGUCAGUCCCCGGCUUUGAGGCCUUGGCUGAAUCACUUACCUCUCUGAGCUUUGGUUUAGUGGAGAGAAGCAUGUGUAGGAAGUAACAUUGUUGCUUCAUAAGGCAGUACUGAAGAAGGGUUACCAGCAUGGCUUUGGAGUCAGUCUGUGGUUCCAAUCUCAACUUCAUGACUUUCUACCUCUUUGAUUUGGGGCAAGUUCUAACCGCUGGAUUCUUCUCUUCUGUAAAAUGGGGGCAGAGAAUCUAUGUCACAGGGCUGUGGUAAGUUUAAGUGAGAUCGCACAUGAACUGCUCAACCUCAGAGCAGGGACCACUGUUAAGUGCUUGAUCCACGUGGGCUGGGAUCAACUUACCCACUGUAUCUACCUCACAGGGCAGUUGUGAGGACGGAGGGCGGAGGGGAGCACUGGGGGUGAUUUCUAAGCUGUAAAUUGACGUGUGCUUGCCUCUUCCCUCUGGAGAGGGGGAAGAAGGAAGUUACUGUCAGACAUUAGUAGAAUACCCAAGGAGGGGGCAUGGCGUGCCACUGUCCCACAGGGGCUGAGGGGAGAACAGGGUUUGGCAUGCCCUCUGCUGAGGGUCACUGCGGUCAAGUGGGGAAAUUUAAUGCCUGUGACUCACACCCUUGAGGACAGAGAGCAAGCAGGUUCAUUUUAAGAAAGGUGCUAGCUGCCAGGGCGGACUAAAGUAGGAGAGUGUUUGCCUAGCAUGAGCAAGGGCCAUGGAUUUCAUAUCUAGCGCCUCAGGAAAAACACAACAAACAAACAAACCCCUCUCCUUGUUUAAGGGUUUUGAUAAAGAACAGUCUUUGUGGACUGUUUGUUUCUAAAUAGGACUCAGAUAGCAGGAAGGGCUGUAUGAAAAAGUGGAGAGAGGUGACUGGAAAUGUUUCCAUUGGCCGGAAGCCUCACACCCUCCUAUCCUGAGUGCAGGUUUCACUCUGUUGAGUGCAGACCAAAUGCAGUUCAAAGGGCCCUCCAAGGACGACUUUGUACAGUCCUGAUAAUAGCCCCACAGAAUCAAUCCCGGCGCGUCAGGGAUUGGAGUCUGGGGAAGGCCCAGUGCCCACGGUAGCACAGGCUCUCUGAGGACAGAGUCCAAGCCUUUCGCCUGGAUGGAGGGUCCUCCGCCCACAGCGUCAGAUGGCUGACCUUGAACAAGGAUGGAGUGCGAAGGAAUAAGGUUCCAUGUGAACGGGUCCUUCCUCUUCUCCUGACCCCAGCAGCAGUUCUCGCUCUCAAUCUCAGGCCUCCAUCUCAGACAGCAUUUCCUAGCUCAUCUCUUAAGUCAGGGUCCUUCGAGUCAGUCCAAACAGGGCAACUCCCGUCCUAACCAGACUCCCUCUCCCGUCACCACCCUCUUCAGCUCCCUGCCUUCCUGACGUCCCCUCAGACAGCCUGAAGUAUAGGUUCCCUGCCAACCCAGUGGCAUCCUCCCAACAUUCCUUAUCAGGGCCCUUCCGAUUCAAACAGAUGUGGCAAUCGGACAAUCUAGGGAUCCUCCAAAGCAGAUGCCUCUUGAUUACAUUCUCGAGUCUGAAGUUUAACUGCGGGAUGUGUUUCCUGAGAGCUGCCAACAGGUUGGAGAUGAACUUAGGGAAGGGGGUUCAUCCUCUCAUCAGUCAGCUGCUUACUGGGCGCCCAAAGCUGUGCCAGAUUCAGUAGCUGGUGCAGGAGAUAAGCAAAACAGACCCAAGCCUAGGUUUUGGGAAGCCUCUAAGCAGCUAGGGAAGACAGACGUCACCAGUGUCCCCUGAGUACAAACUCAGUGUGGCAAAGGUGGCACACACCUAUAAUGCCAGCCCUUGGGAGGUGGAGGUAGGAAGACCAGGAGUUCAAGAUCGCCUUUGGCUGCUUAUCCCGUGAGAGGCCAACCCAGGCCAUGUAAGGCCCUGUCUCAAAAACAAACAAAAUACACACUGUAAAACUGACAAAUGUGAAGAAAAAGUUCAGAGUGCUGCAAAAGAACGUAACAAAUAAAUGGGUGCGUUAAGAAAAUGACAAUAUGUGCCCGUAGUGUGGAGAAGAGAAUUCGUGUAAAGGCAAUAACAGACCCCCUCCAAGGGGAGAAAGCUGGACGGAGCCUGCCGGCUGCUGGGUGGGGUUGGUGUCACGGACCUUGCAGACCACAGGAAGACCACCUUGCAUUUCGGGGUUUAACUUUGUAAUUUGGGAAUUACUGAAAAGUUUUGAGGGUGGUACAAAGGAGGUCUGCACGCUUGGACUGCAAACUGACUUGUAAACAUUCCGUUCACUUGAUUUAUCUCCUGCACCUGCCUGUAAUGUAUACUCAUAUCCUGUUCUCUGAAUGCCGAGACUGGGUUGCACACAUCAUGUCCAUUUACACUUAACAUACAGUGGCUAUUUCCUACAGGAAUACCUCGCCCACCUCACUGAACUUACACUGAUGAGACAUGUGGCCCCUGCCUACCUGUUUGUCCGUCGUCCCUUUAAUCACCUUUAUCAGCAUCUCCCCUUUAGGACAAAAUCAAGUCUACGAACAAUAUGGGUCAAAUGUUGUGGUUUUCUUGCUUGUACCUUUAAUGUGGCAUAGACUUUCUUUUCUCCUUGUUUGAAUAGACUAUUUCUCCCCUUG